GUUCUCUCUCCCUGAAAUUCUAAUUGUACAGACAGUGGUCAAUGACAGCCUGGGGUUGUUUGGACUAUUUCAGAGAAGUCUAUUUCAGACACUCAUGAAUAGAUUUAGAAGCAAUUUGUGACAAUUUUAGUUGUUUUAUGUCCCACAUUUUGUUUUUACAUUGAUUACUUACUAGAAAUUGUGAAGUUCUGGGCUAAAGAUGUAUGACAAACAGGAUGAAAAUCACUUAAGACUGCAGGUCUGGGACACAGACAAACACAAUUAUCUAAAAGACCUAAAUCUUGAUUUUUAAAGAGACAGAUGACUGGACCUUCAUUUACCAUCAUUUUUCUUUCUCUCCACCAUUUCCAGUUAAAACAUUUAACUUUUUUACAUUGUGGUUUGUCUGCUCCCCUUCCAUCCCUAAUGUGUUCUGCUGCUUGGUGAAGAAUGAAAGCACGGUUUAGUGGCUUCUCUGUUUGAGGUUUCAAACGUUCGGUUGAGUAGUCACCUCACCUCCAUCAGCGGACCCUAUUAGUUCACACACACACACACACACACACACACACACACACACACACACACACACACACACACACACACACACACACACACACACACACACACACACACACACACACACUUUAUUGGUUCAAAGUAGCUCAUUUGAGGAACAUUUGAGACCCAGGAACCAGACAUGACGGUGGCCUGACCUGGUUGUCUUCAGCAGUCAGACACUGGGACCUCACCAUCUCCCCCUAUAGAAAUAAAUAGUCGGCCAUAUUGACUGACCCCAUGAGUUAAAUUCCAGUCAAAUUGCUAUGGUCAGAGGGGCUUUCCCCGUUCUAGUAAAUCCAUUUCUAUGUCACCUUUACCCUGGUUAUAGUAUGUUGGACAUAAACACAACCCACCACACUAACUUUACCCCGGUGUGGCACCUCAACUGUAGAGGAGCCUUGUGAAGAAGAACAGACAUGAAUCACGCUAGCUAGCCUGUUGCUGACAUAUUGCAUGGUGAAGGUUAGGGUGUUCGAUGGAGAGAAAUGUUUAAGGGGGGUCACCUCGUUACGAGUGUAGAAAGACUUGACUACUUGUUGACAAAUUGGGACGGCAGGGUAGCCUAGUGGUUAGAGCGUUGGACUAGUAAUCGAAAGGUUGCAAGUUCAAAUCAGCUAACAAGGUAAAAAUCUGUCGUUCUGCUCCUAAACAAGGCAGUUAACCCACUGUUCCUAGGCUGUCAUUUAAAAUAAGAAUUUGUUCUUAACUGACCUGCCUAGUUAAAUAAAGGUAAAAUGUAAUAAAUAAAAAUCAUGUUUAACAGUAUAUCCGUUGACUAAUCAUGUUUUACAGUAUAUCUGUUGACAGGAGGCAUGGGGAGGUUUGGGGGAAGAGAGAUAAGAGGUGACUCCUUGUUGAUUUAUAUCUCUGAUAUAUAUAUAUAUAUAUAUAUAUAUUGAUAUAUAUCCUUGUUGUGUGUGCAUAAACGUUUACUACUUGUUGUUGACUAAAAUGAUUCACAUAACUGUCAGUUGAAAUCAUAAAAUUCUCUGUUAACACAAGAACCACUGUGUGCAGUAUUAGAUAAGAGGACAAUGACAGUAUGAAGGUAGAACCACUGUGUGCAGUAUUAGAUAAGAGGACAAUGACAGUAUGAAGGUAGAACCACUGUGUGCAGUAUUAGAU
rnacentral:lncRNA from 1 species